rnacentral:rRNA from 1 species
UACGUAAGGGGCAAGCGUUGUUCGGAUUUAUUGGGUGUAAAGGGCGCGUAGGCGGUUUGACAAGUCUGGUGUAUAAGGCAACAGCUUAACUGUUGUUUUGCGCUGGAAACUGUCAGACUUGAGUUUAGGAGGGGGAGCUGGAAUUCCAGGUGUAGGGGUGAAAUCUGUAGAUAUCUGGAAGAACACCGGUGGCGAAGGCGAGCUCCUGGCCAUAGACUGGCGCUGAGGCGCGAAAGCGUGGGGAGCGAACAGGAUUAGAUACCCUGGUAGUCCACGCUGUAAACGAUGUACAUUAGGUGUCGGGCCAAGAGGUUCGGUGCCGUAGCAAACGCGUUAAGUGUACCACCUGGGGAGUAUGCCGGCAACGGUGAA